rnacentral:tRNA from 1 species
UUCUAAUGUGGCAGAAUAGUGCAAUGGACUUAAACCCCAUAUAUAAAGUUUAUCCUUUCUUUAGAA